rnacentral:rRNA from 1 species
UACGUAGGGGGCUAGCGUUGUCCGGAAUCAUUGGGCGUAAAGCGCGUGUAGGCGGUCCGGUAAGUCCGCUGUGAAAGUCGGGGGCUCAACCCUCGGAUGCCGGUGGAUACUGUCGGGCUUGAGUACGGAAGAGGCGAGUGGAAUUCCUGGUGUAGCGGUGAAAUGCGCAGAUAUCAGGAGGAACUCCAAUUGCGAAGGCAGCUCGCUGGGACGUUACUGACGCUGAGACGCGAAAGCGUGGGGAGCAAACAGG